GAUGAACGCUGGCGGUGUGCCUAAUACAUGCAAGUCGAGCGAACAGACGAGGAGCUUGCUCCUCUGACGUUAGCGGCGGACGGGUGAGUAACACGUGGAUAACCUACCUAUAAGACUGGGAUAACUUCGGGAAACCGGAGCUAAUACCGGAUAAUAUAUUGAACCGCAUGGUUCAAUAGUGAAUGACGGUUUUGCUGUCACAUAUAGAUGGAUCCGCGCCGCAUUAGCUAGUUGGUAAGGUAACGGCUUACCAAGGCAACGAUGCGUAGCCGACCUGAGAGGGUGAACGGCCACACUGGAACUGAGAAACGGUCAAGACUCCUACGGGAGGCAGCAGUAGGGAAUCUUCCGCAAUGGGCGAAAGCCUGACGGAGCAACGCCGCGUGAGUGAUGAAGGUCUUCGGAUCGUAAAACUCUGUUAUUAGGGAAGAACAAAUGUGUAAGUAACUAUGCACGUCUUGACGGUACCUAAUCAGAAAGCCACGGCUAACUACGUG
rnacentral:rRNA from 1 species